rnacentral:ncRNA from 1 species
UCGCCGGGAGUGCGUCACACUGCACGCUGGGACUGAGGUCCCACCCGGCGU